AACGAACGCUGGCGGCAUGCCUAACACAUGCAAGUCGAACGAACCCUUCGGGCUUAGUGGCCUCUGGGUGUGUCACGCGUCGGAAUCUUCACCUUUCUUUGGCAUACCUGUUAGACAUGGCUGCCUAUGCCGGAUGAAGUCUACUGCCCAAAGAUUUAUCGGCCAGGGAUGAGCCCGCGUAGGAUUAGGUAGUUGGUGGGGUAAAGGCCUACCAAGCCGACGAUCCUUAGCUGGUUUGAGAGGAUGAUCAGCCACACUGGGACUGAGACACGGCCCAGACUCCUACGGGAGGCAGCAGUGGGGAAUAUUGGACAAUGGACGCAAGUCUGAUCCAGCAAUGCCGCGUGAGUGAUGAAGGCCUUAGGGUUGUAAAGCUCUUUUACCAGGGAUGAUAAUGACAGUACCUGGAGAAUAAGCUCCGGCUAACUCCGUG
rnacentral:rRNA from 1 species